CUCUUUAGACUUGUCUUCUUUUCUUUUCAGUAAAUGCUCGUUUUUCUCCCGCCCCCAAGAGAAAGAGAGCCUUGUAUGUACAGUAUGUGUUCGUGUGCUGCGAAUACAGUAUUAAAAAGAUAAAAAGCACGAGUUUUCUGGUUGGGAGGACCUAACUAGACUUACUGAAAAUAUAUGAACGAUGGGCACUUCCUUCAUAGAAAUUUCCAACUUCUCCCCACCUGAAGAAACACUGCCAAAACUGACUGACUCAGUCUUCACAAUUGGUGACUGUUUAAAUGAAAAAAGGUAAUUGUAUGAUAUAUCAAAGUAGUUCAAGUUUUGUAGUAAUUGCAAAGGAAAAAUGUAAAAGAAAUGUCCUCUGCUAGAGCAAGAGAAAAAUGAUCUCUAUUAUACAGAAAGAAAUACUCAGAAACAUAUCAUAAGCACUUUAAAGUACUAUUUAUAUCUCCUUCAGGACUAUACUUAUUUGGAGCCAUCUUUAGAAAAUAGGCAGCUAUGGAAUUUUCUUACUAGCCCAGACUAGCUUAAACUUAUUUUCUUUCACUAACAUAUGCCAUGUGUAAUCAAACCCAUGUUUAUGCCCAUAGGAAUUUGAGAGACAGGGGAUUCUUAUUAAUGAGCUGAGAAAUCUAUACAGUAGAGACCAUUCUUCGCAACUUUGACAAGUAUAUCUAGUGCCUAAAUAAAGUGACAGAUCUUGAUGUUUCCAGGGAACAGCCAACAGUAUCCUUAGGCUCAAGAUCAGAGUCCACCUCAGACUCGUCAGGCUUUUGAACAGUGUUUUUAGAUGACUUGCAAUCUAAUGGUUUUCGACCACUCUCCUUACAUCUCCUACGGGGCUUUGUUGAAGAUGCAAAGG